rnacentral:sRNA from 1 species
UUGUAUUCCAAAACAUACCACAACGAGGCGGGUCUGGAGGUAACAUCGGAGCCCAGUGGAACGGAGGAUUUGGAGGCUGAAAAU